AGAGUUUGAUCCUGGCUCAGGAUGAACGCUGGCGGCGUGCUUAACACAUGCAAGUCGAACGAGAACGGCUCUAGCUUGCUAGAGUGUCAGCUAAGUGGCGGACGGGUGAGUAAUGUAUAGUUAAUCUGCCCUUCAGAGGGGGAUAACAGUUAGAAAUGACUGCUAAUACCCCAUAUACCUUCUACCUUAAUGGUAGUUGGGAAAGUUUUUUCGCUGAAGGAUGAGACUAUAUGGUAUCAGGUAGUUGGUGGGGUAAGAGCCCACCAAGCCAAUGACGCCUAGCUGGUCUGAGAGGAUGAUCAGCCACACUGGAACUGAGACACGGUCCAGACUCCUACGGGGGGCAGCAGUGGGGAAUAUUGCACAAUGGAGGAAACUCUGAUGCAGCAACGCCGCGUGGAGGAUGACACAUUUCGGUGCGUAAACUCCUUUUAUAUGGGAAGAUAAUGACGGUACCAUAUGAAUAAGACCGCUAACU
rnacentral:rRNA from 1 species